UCCAGACUCCUACGGGAGGCAGCAGUGAGGAAUAUUGGUCAAUGGGCGCGAGCCUGAACCAGCCAAGUCGCGUGAGGGAAGACGGCCCUACGGGUUGUAAACCUCUUUUGUCGGGGAGCAAAGCGAACCACGUGUGGUUCAUUGAGAGUACCCGAAGAAAAAGCAUCGGCUAACUCCGUGCCAGCAGCCGCGGUAAUACGGAGGAUGCGAGCGUUAUCCGGAUUUAUUGGGUUUAAAGGGUGCGUAGGCGGGACGUUAAGUCAGCGGUAAAAAUGCGGAGCUCAACUCCGUCGAGCCGUUGAAACUGCCGUUCUUGAGUGAGCGAGAAGUAUGCGGAAUGCGUGGUGUAGCGGUGAAAUGCAUAGAUAUCACGCAGAACUCCGAUUGCGAAGGCAGCAUACCGGCGCUCAACUGACGCUGAAGCACGAAGGCGUGGGUAUCGAACAGGAUUAGAUACCCGUGUAA
rnacentral:rRNA from 1 species